rnacentral:lncRNA from 1 species
AAAACAAAUAAUUAAUUAAGGUACAUUAACAAAACAAAAUCUAAGAAUGUAAAAACUGUACCCUAUAUUAACAGGGAAGUCACUGCUUUUCUUUAGUCUCAUUACAGCACCUAUAGCUAAUUUGGAAAAAUAUAUAUCAUGUUCAUAAAAAAAAAUAUAGUAACCAAGCUAUGACUAAAAUACACUUAUAAGUAUCAUAUAA